rnacentral:lncRNA from 1 species
AAACUUCCUCUCCUGUCUUCAUGUGGAUGCUAACUUAAAACUCUUAUUUCUGGGUCAGAUAACUCCCUGCUCUCAGCCCUGAUGACUACACCUUUGACACACACUAUAUUGAACUCCUCAAUUCCCACUAGCCCCAUUUCAAGUGCUCAGGAGCUCCAUGGAGCUCCCUCGCAGCUCGAUUGGACGUGCAGAGCUUGAUGAAGCGGAUAAAAGACACUCAGGUUUAGACCCUUGGAGGGAGAGAACACAGAGGGCUUUGUGACCUUUUAAUGAGGCACAAAAACACCCCUGAGACUUUCCUUUUCCCACCCCUUCUCUAUUAAUCCUCUUCAACAACAUGAAUUUCCACAGUGAGUUGAGGGUUUACCCCUACCUGCCUCAAAGGAAUUUUGAAAAGAUUAAAAAAAAAAAAAAAGAAAGAAAGGAAAACAGAGCUUUGGCUCAGCACUCAGGACCCAUCCGAGGUGGUCGCAAUUAAAAACAAAAGCAGCCACUGUGAUUGGUCUCACUUGUACCGUAGUAACAUGUGAUCUAUUUCAGCAGCAGCCAUAGCGUUUGUUUUGGAGACUUCAGUCAGAAAAUAAACGUAACGCAUGUGUGAAAAGAAAGAAGUGUGUGGAACUCGGAGAAAGUCUUAUCUUCUGAACACGAGUGCCCGAGGACAGAAGCCCCCAUCUUUUAACAAAGAAAAGUCCAUUGUUCAUCAUUUUGUGAAAUGUGAAAACUAACAUGAUAAACAAUGAUUCAUUUUAAUGGACUGAAAAAUAACUUGCAUAGACACUGGAGGCCAAGAAAAGAAAAAAAAAAAAAGAAAGAAAAGAAAAAGCAUUAUCCUUUUAUCCAUUUAAAGAAAAAAAAGCAAAAUACAUCCUAUUAUCAGCUCUCAAUAGAUGAACAGGCACUAAGCAGAAGCUUCGGGAAGGCUGCUGUUUCAGAAAAACUUAACAGGUUUUUGAAAAGAAGAAUUCCAACCCCCUGAACUCCCACCCUCUUGUGCACACAACUGGAAGAAUGGCACACCCAGAUCUGAUGGUGAUAACUUUUAUUUGCAAAGAGAUGGGUUAGGAACGGCCAGCGGUUGGGGGCAGAUUGGAGAUGGGAGGAGAGCUCAUCAAAGGGCUUCAGUUAGUUGUAGGUAAACAGGCCUUGUCCCCUGACACUGUUCUUUUCCUUGCAACCCAUCAAAAGAUGUAUCUGAAUGGUGACUGGACCCAGGGGUGCUGGGGCGAGGGUGUCAGGAAGCCGCUUUCAGGAAUCAGCCAUCCUACUGCUCUUCCUGUAAGGAUUUCUGUUGCUCUUUAAAUCAGUAAGUGGAGACUAGGGCAUUCUAAUGUUGCAAACAUUAAACAGUCAAGCUACCACUUAAAUUUUCUGCUGCAAAAGAAAUUUCAACCACUGACUAGUUAAGGGGAAGGAUCUCCCCUACCCUAUAAUUCCCAUGGCUAAAACGCUUGACAUUUCUUAUUUCAGACUGGAAGAUUCUGUAGGCUGUCCGAUUUAGGUAAAUGGCGCUGUCUUUGGCUUUCGUUAUGAUGCUCAGAAGUGAGAGCUGCUGCAGUUUGACCCCCUCUCCCUGGCUGUGGGCUUUGC